UACGUAGGGUGCGAGCGUUGUCCGGAAUUAUUGGGCGUAAAGAGCUUGUAGGCGGUUUGUCGCGUCUGCCGUGAAAAUCCGGGGCUCAACCCCGGACUUGCGGUGGGUACGGGCAGACUAGAGUGUGGUAGGGGAGACUGGAAUUCCUGGUGUAGCGGUGAAAUGCGCAGAUAUCAGGAGGAACACCGGUGGCGAAGGCGGGUCUCUGGGCCGAAACUGACGCUGAGGCGCGACAGCGUGGGGAGCAAACAGG
rnacentral:rRNA from 1 species